rnacentral:rRNA from 1 species
AUGGUAAGUCAGCCGAACCGGUACGGGAGAGAAAAAGAAUUGCCCAGCCACGCACGUCCCGGCUUCCCAAUCACAUCUCCACCGGCAGCGCAACACCACCUCCUACCCUGCCCUCACCGCGCGCCGCCGGACACACCCCGCCGCCGAGCGCCACCACCGCCUACCCUCCUCCCAUCAGGAUCCCCCAGAUCCAAAAAUCCAUCCACCCAGUCCUCUCCUCGAUUUCCAAAUCGAACCUACCGGCAGCCUCCCUACGCAGUUGUGCCCCCGCGCCUCUGCCUCACCGAGCGCCCGACCAUGCCGUCGUCCGUUGCCAGCACCCGCGGAUCCGGCCGCCCCUCACCUUCCCCAUGGGCUGCACCUCACAGCGCCGCCGCCCCUGCCAAGCUCCGCAGCUGGAGGAUGAAAUUCUGUCAGUGUCCACUGUCUUCAAGUAAUAUUACAAGCCUCAGCAUAUUUGAGAUGAUGGCUGUUGCUGCACGUGAAGAGUUGGUUAAUAUGAAGAAGUUCCUAAUUAACUGA